UUUAACAGUAUAAUCCUGUUAUUGUCAAAAGCAGUAUGUUGCUGUUUUCUUACAGUUUUUGAAAUGACUUAGACAAAAUUUUACAUUAUUUUACUGUUUUUAUCACACUAAUGUAAAAAAAACAGCAAUCAACAGUUUUUUAACAGAAAACGUCAGCCAUCACGUGGAUUUUCAUCCUUUUGUUUACUGUGACUUACUCGGUAAGCGCACCUUUAUUUUGCUAAUUUUACACAAAAUACACAUUUGUGAUUGCACAUAGGCUAACUGGAUGCUGAUAUUGUAACUUUUUUACAUCUAUUUUAGUGCUAAAUCUGUCAAUGUGCAAACUGAAUCUGCAUUGAGUGGAACUGGAUAUCUGACACAGAUAUUUCCUGAUUACACGGUAAGUCAGAAUAUGAUAAUUAAAAAUUAUAUAUGCUAUAAGCUUAUCUACAAAGUCAGUUUUUAAACAUAUGUAGCAACAAAGUAGUAUUGAUUUAUGUAGCAUGAUGAAAAGAUUGUCAUCUCAUUGCUAAUUUUAGCUUUAGCUUUUAAUAGCUACCUAAUAUGGCUUCAAUGUAGGCUUUGAUAAAACAUGUAUUUCCCUAAUGCUGUGUUUGCAAAUUUUACUGUAGUUGGUUUGUAUUGUAAUGCUACUUUGUCGAGUACAAUUGGCUAAUCACCACGAUAAACUGUUUUAUAUGUCCAUUUCAGUGCUGAACCUGUGAACAUGCUAACUGCAUCAUAGAGUGGAGCUGGAUUUCUGAUACAGAUAUUGAUUACUGAUUACAAGGCAUCUUCUACUGUACCUGAUGUAGAAAAGACCCUUGAACUACCUGCAAUUCCUUGACUGAUACUUUUUGGUAUGUUUAGAACUGUAUUUUAUUACUUAAGCAACUAAGGGUGUUUUCUCUGUAUUUUAGCAAACAUGGUAAAUUCUUUUGAACAAAACAAAAUACACAAAUACAUAAAUUAAAUGUUCUGCCAUAUUUUACCCAAGCUUUCUUUCACCUUUGGUGAAUUUUACUAAAUUUACUAAAAUACUCCAUUUUAGUUGUUUAACACGCUUUGUUGAUCAUAAAUAUUAAGUUAAAUAAAUCACAAACAUUGCAGUGACAAUUUUACAAUACACAGUAUAUACUGUACAUGUUGAUUUCAGUGGCUGUCCAGGUGAGUCCACAAUCAACAUUUUCAAAUGUAUGUAUUGUGUUAAAAGAACAGGGCUUUGAGACUAAGUAAAAUUACUUCAGCUUCCCUCACAUAUAUUUUCAACUAGGCUAUAAAAAAUAACAUUUCAUGCGACUGCUGACAUUGUUUUUUUCUUUUAAUUGUUUUAGGAGAAAAAACAGGAAGCUACAUUCAUAAAUGGAUGAUCAUUUUUGAGGGGCAAAUAAUCUGUGAGAGCAUCCAGCCAAUUUUUCUGUCUGGUAUAGCGGCUGUGUUUUCAACUUACGACAUUUUCAAUGUGGAGAACCAAGCUGAGGCUGCAUGCACAUUGGAAUUAAUUCAGAGAAGCUUCAUGGGUAAACCCUGAAAAAGGCUCCAAGAGUGGACACAUCCUAUCGAAGGGAAUGGGGAAGGUCACCCACAAAAAUAAUUGUCAACACUAAGGUUGCCAGUUUACUUAAAGAAGCUAAUGGACUUUGAGUGGGAUGUCAUACAAGUGACACCACACACACACACACACACACACACACACACACACACCUUACACAUCCUCUUCACUAAUGGCACUCAUUUUAUUGUGUUAGUCGCAUACUUUUUUCAGGUGUUUGUUCUUGAAUACCUAAACUGUUCAUUGCAUUCUUUUUUAUUUCUUACUAACUAAUUCUGUAAUUCACUUAGAAGUUUUCAGAGUAGUAAUUGUUGUAGUAAUUCCACUUUAUUUUCCAUUGCCAGUAAUUUUGAAAUAUAUAAGUGUAAUAAGAUGUAAUAAAAGUUGAAGUUACACUGCAUUUUUUAGUUUUAGCAUUGUUUCCAAUAAGGCUAUAUGUGUGCAUUGUAUUAAACUGUGUUUUUAUAACAAAUAAAAAAUGUAUAUAUACCUGUUUUCUUAGCAGUUCAUUUCUCAGGAUAACAUAUUUGUAGUUUACAGUUAAAAAUUCAAACAAACAUUAAUUAACCGUUACUUUUGACAGUAAAUUACUGUUA